rnacentral:snRNA from 1 species
GCCUCAGUCAAAAUCCAUAUAACUUCA